GCAAGUCGAGCGAUGAAAUCUUAACAGAACCCUUCGGGGCGAAGAUAAGACGGAUUAGCGGCGGACGGGUGAGUAACACGUGAGUAACCUGCCUUUUACACAGGGAUAGCCUCGGGAAACCGGGAUUAAAACCUGAUGAAACUAUCAAAUCACAUGAUUAAGAAAGUUAAAACUCCGGUGGUAAAAGAUGGACUCGCGUCCCAUUAGCUAGUUGGUGAAGGUAACGGCCCACCAAGGCAACGAUGGGUAGCCGGCCUGAGAGGGUGAACGGCCACAUUGGAACUGAGAAACGGUCCAAACUCCUACGGGAGGCAGCAGUGGGGAAUAUUGCACAAUGGGGGAAACCCUGAUGCAGCGACGCCGCGUGAGCGAAGAAGGCCUUCGGGUCGUAAAGCUCUUUUAUAUGGGAAGAUAAUGACGGUACCAUAAGAAAAAGCCCCGGCUAACUACGUGCCAGCAGCCGCGGUAAUACGUAGGGGGCUAGCGUUGUCCGGAAUCACUGGGCGUAAAGGGUUCGCAGGCGGCAAUGCAAGUCAGAUGUAAAAGGCAAAGGCUCAACCUUUGUAAGCAUCUGAAACUGUAUAGCUUGAGAAGUGUAGAGGCAAGUGGAAUUUUUAGUGUAGCGGUGAAAUGCGUAGAUAUUAAAAAGA
rnacentral:rRNA from 1 species